GAUGAAGAACGUAGCGAAAUGCGAUAAGUAAUGUGAAUUGCAGAAUUCAGUGAAUCAUCGAAUCUUUGAACGCACAUUGCGCCCGUCAGUAUUCUGGCGGGCAUGCCUGUUCGAGCGUCAUUACGCCCCUCAAGUCCCCUGUGGACUUGGUGUUGGGGAUCGGCGAGGCUGGUUUUCCAGCACAGCCGUCCCUUAAAUUAAUUGGCGGUCUCGCCGUGGCCCUCCUCUGCGCAGUAAUACAGCUCGCACCGGGACCCCGACGCGGCCACGCCGUAAAACACCCAACUUCUGAACGUUGACCUCGAAUCAGGUAGGACUACCCGCUGAACUUAAGCAUAUCAAUAAGCGGAGGA
rnacentral:misc_RNA from 1 species